AGUAAGGCGGGGUUUCCUAUAAUCACACUCUCUCAUUACAAUUCACUCGAUGAACAGAUACAAUAAAGGACGGUCUUCAGACAUGGCUGAAAAAAUGGGACAAAGAAAAACAAGGGCGGCCAUCAAAGUUGACGAGAGAAGCAAGGAGAGCAGGACUGCCACUGAAACAGUAACACCAUUAGAAAAAUCACAGCUGGAUGAGAUGUGCCAUCGCUUUUCAUCCAGAAGUGCACAGAGCAAAUCAGCUGGUUUGUUUCAUCUUGUCAAUGGUUUAAAUGUUAUUUUUGUAAUAUAUGUUUUGUAAAAAGGUUCAAGGGUGGUUCCACAAUUGCUCUCUAGAAAUGGUGGGUUGAAUUUCCAAUUCAUAAAACUUUAGAUCCCAAGAUGG